GACGAACGCUGGCGGCGUGCUUAACACAUGCAAGUCGAACGGUAAGGCUCCAGCUUGCUGGGGUACACGAGUGGCGAACGGGUGAGUAACACGUGGGUGACCUGCCCUGCACUUCGGGAUAAGCCUGGGAAACUGGGUCUAAUACCGGAUAGGACCGCACCGUGAGGGUGUGGUGGAAAGUUUUUUCGGUGUGGGAUGGGCCCGCGGCCUAUCAGCUUGUUGGUGGGGUAAUGGCCUACCAAGGCGGCGACGGGUAGCCGGCCUGAGAGGGUGGACGGCCACAUUGGGACUGAGACACGGCCCAGACUCCUACGGGAGGCAGCAGUGGGGAAUAUUGCACAAUGGGCGGAAGCCUGAUGCAGCGACGCCGCGUGGGGGAUGACGGCCUUCGGGUUGUAAACUCCUUUCACCAUCGACGAAAGAUUUCUGACGGUAGAUGGAGAAGAAGCACCGGCUAACUACGUGCCAGCAGCCGCGGUAAUACGUAGGGUGCGAGCGUUGUCCCGGAUUACUGGGCGUAAAGAGCUCGUAGUGGUUUGUCGCGUCGUCUGUGAAAUUCCGGGGCUUAACUCCGGGCGUGCAGGCGAUACGGGCAUAACUUGAGUACUGUAGGGGAGACUGGAAUUCCUGGUGUAGCGGUGAAAUGCGCAGAUAUCAGGAGGAACACCGGUGGCGAAGGCGGGUCUCUGGGCAGUAACUGACGCUGAGGAGCGAAAGCAUGGGGAGCGAACAGGAUUAGAUACCCUGGUAGUCCAUGCCGUAAACGGUGGGCGCUAGGUGUGGGUUUCCUUCCACGGGAUCCGUGCCGUAGCUAACGCAUUAAGCGCCCCGCCUGGGGAGUACGGCCGCAAGGCUAAAACUCAAAGGAAUUGACGGGGGCCCGCACAAGCGGCGGAGCAUGUGGAUUAAUUCGAUGCAACGCGAAGAACCUUACCUGGGCUUGACAUAUACAGGAUCGCGCCAGAGAUGGUGUUUCCCUUGUGGCUUGUAUACAGGUGGUGCAUGGUUGUCGUCAGCUCGUGUCGUGAGAUGUUGGGUUAAGUCCCGCAACGAGCGCAACCCUUGUCUUAUGUUGCCAGCACGUUGUGGUGGGGACUCGUAAGAAACUGCCGGGGUUAACUCGGAGGAAGGUGGGGAUGACGUCAAAUCAUCAUGCCCCUUAUGUCCAGGGCUUCACACAUGCUACAAUGGUCGGUACAGUGGGUUGCCAGUCCGUGAGGGCGAGCUAAUCCCGCAAAGCCGGUCUCAGUUCGGAUCGGGGUCUGCAACUCGACCCCGUGAAGUCGGAGUCGCUAGUAAUCGCAGAUCAGCAACGCUGCGGUGAAUACGUUCCCGGGCCU
rnacentral:rRNA from 1 species